rnacentral:rRNA from 1 species
GAUGAACGCUGGCGGCGUGCCUAAUACAUGCAAGUCGAACGAGGUGCUUUUGUAGCAAUACGAGAGUAUCCUAGUGGCGAACGGGUGAGUAACGCGUUGGUGACCUACCCCAAAGUGUGGGAUAACAGUCCGAAAGGAUUGCUAAUACCGCAUGUGGUCUUCGGAUUUAGAAACUGAUGACUAAAGGAGCAAUUCGCUUUGGGAGGGACCUGCGUCCCAUCAGCUAGUUGGUGAGGUAAUGGCUCACCAAGGCUACGACGGGUAGGGGACCUGAGAGGGUGACCCCCCACAAUGGAACUGAAACACGGUCCAUACACCUACGGGUGGCAGCAGUAGGGAAUAUUGCACAAUGGGCGAAAGCCUGAUGCAGCAACGCCGCGUGUGCGAUGAAGGCCUUCGGGUCGUAAAGCACUUUUCUGGGAGAUGAGCAAGGACAGUAUCUCAGGAAUAAGUCUCGGCUAACUACGUG